CAGUCGCCGCGGUAAUACGGAGGGUGUGAGCGUUAACCGGAAUAACUGGGCGUAAAGGGCACGCAGGCGGUGACUUAAGUGAGGUGUGAAAGCCCCGGGCUUAACCUGGGAAUUGCAUUUCAUACUGGGUCGCUAGAGUACUUUAGGGAGGGGUAGAAUUCCACGUGUAGCGGUGAAAUGCGUAGAGAUGUGGAGGAAUACUGAAGGCGAAGGCAGCCCCUUAGGAAAGUACUGACGCUCAUGUGCGAAAGCGUGGGGAGCAAACAGGAUUAGAUACCCCGGUAGUCCCUGUCUCUUAUAC
rnacentral:rRNA from 1 species